rnacentral:rRNA from 1 species
AUUGAACGCUAGCGGGAUGCUUUACACAUGCAAGUCGAACGAGUGGCGGACGGGUGAGUAAUAUAUCGGACCGUGCCCAGGAGCGGGGGAUAACUACUCGAAAGAGUGGCUAAUACCGCAUACUCUGGUAGCGCCCGAUAUCGGUUUAGCUAGUUGGUGGGGUAAAGGCGCACCAAGGCAACGAUCCGUAGCUGGUUUGAGAGGACGACCAGCCACACUGGGACUGAGCCACGGCCCAGACUCCUACGGGAGGCAGCAGUGGGGAAUUUUGGACAAUGGGGGAAACCCUGAUCCAGCCAUGCCGCGUGUAUGAGAAGGCCUUCGGGUUGUAAAGUACUUUUAGCAGAGAAGCGGUAUCUGCAGAAUAAGCACCGGCUAACUACGUGCCAGCCGCCGCGGUAAUUC